rnacentral:rRNA from 1 species
GGACGAUAAUGACGGUACCUGAGGAGGAAGCUCCGGCUAACUACGUGCCAGCAGCCGCGGUAAUACGUAGGGAGCGAGCGUUGUCCGGAAUUACUGGGGUGUAAAGGGAGUGUAGGCGGGAAAACAAGUCAGAUGUGAAAACUAUGGGCUCAACCUGUAGACUGCAUUUGAAACUAUUUUCUUGAGUGAAGUAGAGGUAAGCGGAAUUCCUAGUGUAGCGGUGAAAUGCGUAGAUAUUAGGAGGAACAUCAGUGGCGAAGGCGGCUUACUGGGCUUUUACUGACGCUGAGGCUCGAAAGCGUGGGGAGCAAACAGGAUUAGAUACCCUGGUAGUCCACGCUGUAACGAUGAUUACUAGGUGUGGGGGACGUGACCCUUCCGUGCCGCAGUUAACACAAUAAGUAAUCCACCUGGGAGUACGACCGCAAGGUGAAACUCAAAGGAAUUGACGGGGG